GGCAGACCCAGAGGCCAGAGCUCGCCCUCUGCUCCCCCACCCGCCUCCCUGCUUCCCACACAGCCCUCUGGGACUGGCAUGGUGUCUGGAGGCGGGCCAGCAACCUGAUGUGCAUGCCACAGCCCGUCCCUCUCCCCACACAGAGCUGCAGUAAUCCUGAGGUUCAGAGAGCCGGCUGGAGAGGCAGCUUCAGCACAGCAACCCUGUGACAGAGCAAAAGCCACUAAGCGGAUUUCGUCCCCCUUGCGAACAAGUGGAGUGAAGAGAGCCCCCAGCCUGCCAGCUCUUCAGUCUUGAACGCACCAUCGACAGUUGCUGCUGAGUCAUGGCCGAAGGGGAGAUCACAACCUUUGCAGCCCUGACCGAGAGGUUCAAUCUGCCUCUA
rnacentral:lncRNA from 1 species